rnacentral:rRNA from 1 species
GACGAACGCUGGCGGCGUGCUUAACACAUGCAAGUCGAACGGAAAGGCCCUGCUUUUGUGGGGUGCUCGAGUGGCGAACGGGUGAGUAACACGUGAGUAACCUGCCCUUGACUUUGGGAUAACUUCAGGAAACUGGGGCUAAUACCGGAUAGGAGCUCCUGCUGCAUGGUGGGGGUUGGAAAGUUUCGGCGGGUGGGGAUGGACUCGCGGCUUAUCAGCUUGUUGGUGGGGUAGUGGCUUACCAAGGCUUUGACGGGUAGCCGGCCUGAGAGGGUGACCGGCCACAUUGGGACUGAGAUACGGACCAGACUCCUAUGGGAGGCAGCAGUGGGGAAUAUUGCACAAUGGGCGGAAGCCUGAUGCAGCAACGCCGCGUGCGGGAUGACGGCCUUCGGGUUGUAAACCGCUUUCGCCUGUGACGAAGCGUGAGUGACGGUAAUGGGAAAAGAAGCACCGGCUAACUACGUG